rnacentral:misc_RNA from 1 species
AUAAUGCUCUCUGGCUUCGGUCAGCUGAGUUCAAUGAGUGCCUUCUCUUCGGAGUUGGCCAUCCACACACACCGUGAACUGUGGCUUCGGCCAUCACAAACUGUUAGUAAUGAAUGUAAUAUCAUAACAAAAACA